AAAAAACACCAAAAUCAAGCAAUUGCUUGUGAAAACCAAAAAGGAACUGGCAGAUUCAAAGCAAGCAGAAACUGAUCACUUAAUACUUCAAGCAUCUUUAAAAGGCGAGCUGGAGGCAAGCCAGCAGCAAGUAGAAGUCUAUAAAAUACAGCUGGCUGAAAUAACAUCAGAGAAGCACAAAAUCCACGAGCACCUGAAAACCUCUGCGGAACAGCACCAGCGUACGCUAAGUGCAUACCAGCAGAGAGUGACAGCACUACAGGAAGAGAGCCGUGCUGCCAAGGCAGAACAAGCUACUAUAACCUCUGAAUUCGAGAGCUACAAAGUCCGAGUUCAUAACAUUCUAAAACAACAGAAAAAUAAAUGUGUCUCAGGCUGAAACUGAGGGCGCUAAACAAGAAAGGGAACAUCUGGAAAUGCUGAUUGACCAGCUAAAAAUGAAAUUACAAGAUAGCCAAAAUAACUUACAGAUUAAUGUAUCUGAACUUCAAACAUUGCAGUCUGAACAUGAUACACUGCUAGAAAGGCACAAGAUGCUGCAGGAAGCUGUGUCCAAAGAGGCGGAACUCCGGGAAAAUGUUCACAGUUUAAUGUCUUCCUUCCACUCAUUCUUGAUACUCAUGAAUGCUGGAACAAAAAUGGUUCUGUCUCAUUCAGCCUUCAGAAAAAGAGCUGAAACCCAGCUCCUUCUCACCAUCUCCACUGCUCUCUUAUCAUUGCAAUCCAGUUGAACCCUCCUAAGGCAUCCUCCUGAAGUCUGAUUUUAUUCCAAAGGACCUCUGAUGCAAGCCUAAGGAGCCUGUUUGUGCAAAUAAUUAGGAACAAAGUCCUGGCUGCUUCUCAGAUGCUCGGCCUCAUGAUCUUCAGUGGGGAUUUAUGAGUCUUCAAGGCUCUCGGGACCUGGGAUGUAGCAAAAGAUAACAGGUCAUGAAAACUCGGUCCUUGUUACUCUGAUCCUUGUGCUUAAGUCAGACAAGCACAAGCCAAUUGGCUGCUGUGCUCCCAUCUCUCAAUAGGGGAUAAAUAUAUUCCAAUUGCAUAUCAUUAACAAAAAGUUGGUGCGUGAACUGGGGUGCCAGCUGCCAUCAGCUGUCAUUAAAAUGGAGUGUUAUGGUGUUACAAUUCCGGUAAAUGCAAAACUGUCUUGCGGCUAGUGGGAACACAUGAAGAAUGAAUCUCAUUAAACACAAGUACUUACUCAGAUGGUUCCAUCAAACUCCCUGAAGUGCCACUUACUGCGUGCCUGGGAGAUGGCGGGUGGAAGCACACACCCUUUGAUGUGUGUCACAGAGUGGCAGCUGCCCCAAGCAAAACAAAGCUCCUGCUCCGUCAUAGCUUCAGUGCGGAUUGAAAUUGAGAGAGGAUGACACAGCUGUAUUUCUGAGCAGUGGGCAUUUAGCGACAUCCAAGGGGACAAAUAAGCCUCUUAAAUUCAUUAGUAUCUUGAUAAGACUGAUUAUGCAGUGAGCGGUGAAUGGCUCUGACUUCUCAGGAAAAUGAAAUGAGAAGAAAGGGCAAGGAGGGGGUGGUUCUUUCCUGGAGCAGCUGUGAAGUCCUCUCAGGAGGUGGUGAACCCUGGAGAGCAACUGAUGCUACACAAAGGACAGCAGCUGAAAAGGAGCCUCCGUGGGUCACUGUCCCAGAGAGCCCCUAACUUGGCCGGCCCGGAAGGGCAGAGGAGAGGGCUUCCUGAGCUAAGCUGCCAGGUAACAGCUGCAGCCGCAGCCCCAGUGCACCCUACAGGGUCAUUUUCCAGGGCUGAAGCUGGAAAUGCGGAUGGCGGCCCCGAUUCAACUGGGUAAUGCAGAACAUUUGACAUCGCAUCUGGUGUCAGUGAUUUGGUUGCUAUUGUAGAUAUUUCAUGUCACACUGGAUAUUAAGGAUGAGGACGUCGCCCACAGAGGCAGGAAGUGUGGAGAAAGAACCCGCUUCUAUGCAAGUCAUGGGGUCGCGAGGUUAAUACGCUUCUGCGGCUCCAGUAAAAACUCUGCUAAUUGAGGCACGGCUGGGGUCCAGGAAUAUAGGAAGCUCUCCUCCUCUGGUCGUCACUGUAUGAUAUGGAUGCUUCAUUUCACUACCUCCUUCUGGGGGUGACACCCUCACCCCAACUACCUUUCCCAGGAGGCUGCCAAGUGCCAGGGCAGCUCUUCCCCAGAGGUGGGUGUGGGUCAUGUUUUUAAUGUCAGUUGCCAGUAAUUUACUAUUAGCUCUGUGAAAAGAGAACAUCUCUGAUGCUUAACUCAAGUCAUAGACAUGAGAUAGUCUCAAAAGAGGAUGCAAUUCCCUGAGAGUCAAUAAACACGAGGUACAGUUAUUAGACGAGGUUACUAGACUAACAGGGACAAGGAGGGCUGUUUGAGGCCAAGUGUGGUAAUCUCAGUGCUUUGGGGGCCAAGGCAGGAGGAUCAAUUGAGGCCAGGAGUUCAAGACCAGCUUGGGCAACAUAGCAAGAUCCUAUCUUUACAAAUUUUUUUUUUUUUUAAUGAGCUGGGUUUGGCGGCGUGCACCUGUAGUCCCUCCCAGCUACUUGGGAGGCUGAGAAGGGAGGAUCUUUUGAGUCCAGUUCAAGGCUGCAGUGAACUAUGGUGGUGCCACUGCACUCCAGCCUGGGCAACAGAGUAAGACCCUGUUUCUAAAAGCAAAAAACAACAAAAACAAAAAAACAAACAAAAAACCUUAAUAUAAAUGAUGUGUGAAUAUUGUCUUGUUAGGGAAUAAUGACAAGGAAAGAAAAGCCUAUACAUGUUUAGUACAGAUGCAAUUUUUUUUCCUAAUAUUUUUCAAACUCUGAGCUCAGGUGACCCUCCUGCCUUAGCAGUGGUGCAGUCUCAGCUCACUGUAACCUCCUCCUCCCAGGUUCAAGUGAUUGUCCUGCCUUAGCUUCUCAAGUAGCUGGGACUACAGGCAUGCGCCACCACGCCUGGCUAAUUUUUGUAUUUUUAGUAGAGAUAGGGGUUUACGAUGUUGACCAGGCUGGUCUUGAAAUCCUGACUUCAGGUGAUCCACCUGCCUUGGCCUUGCAAAGUGUUAGGAUUACAGGCAUAAGCCACCACACCCAGCCCUUUCCCUAAUAUUUUUGAUUGGUGGUUGGCUGAAUCCAUGGAUGUGAAUCCACUGAUGCAGAGGGCAUGACUUCCUGCACCUUGCAUCUGUCUGGUAUUUAUGAGUUACGAGGAUAAGAACUGGAUUUUUAAAGAGUAUCUUUGAGGGGCAAAGAAGACUUUGGACUAACACUCCCUUUAGGUCCCUGUAGAAUCUAACUUCAGCAUUUAGAAAAAAAAGAAGGCCAGGUGCGGUGGCUCAUGGCUGUCAUCUCAGCACUUUGGGAGGCUGAGGUAGGAGGAUUGCUUGAGGUCCAGAGUUAAAGACGAGCCUGGCCAACAUAACGAGACCCCAUCUCUCUUAAAAAAAAAAAAAAAAGAAAGAAACAAAUUUGAAAAAAAGAAAAUGAAAUUCCCGACAUUAACUCCAAGCUCUCCAUACAAACAUAACACUUUGCCAAAGCGAUUUGCAUGUUAACAAGGGAGAAUUCCAUAUUAACAUAUGAUAUUGAAUCAUGGAGCUGAUGGGGAGAAAGACUGUAUACAAGCAGCCACAGAUCCUCUCAGUAAUCUAGGCCCAGGUUUCUCAGGUCAAGGCUCUUGGUGGAUUCAGUCAUUGACAUAUUUGUGAGCAAAUGGUGUGUGGGCUUAUGUCAGGCAACCACAUGUGAAUGAGUCAGAAGCACUUUUGAAAAAAUCCAAGCUGUUCGUGAAAUCAAGAAAUUAAACACAGGCAGAAACAUCAACACUGUGCCACUCCGAGGCAAUCUUCAGACAGCUCUGAUGUGGAAUGAGUGAACUCAGAUGCUGUCCUGAAAUCAUCAAUCUGUCCUUGUUUUCUUUCUUACAUUGCAGUAUUGAAACUCAGAACAUGUAACUCUGCUCAACAAGAUGAUUUUGACUAACAGUUUCAGGGCCUGAAUGGAAUUGAGCCAAGCUGCAAAGAAAUCACAUUUACACUUAAAUUAAAGAUGCUACUUGUUAUGUGGAUAUGAUGAGUUCCAGGUAUUAUCUCUCUUUGCCAUCAAAUGCCACUUCUGGCCAGGUAUGGUGACUCAUGCCUGUAAUCCCAACAUUUUGAGAAGCCAAGGCAUGAGAAUUGCUUUAGGCCAGGAGUUCAAGACCAGCCUAGGUAACAUGGUGAGACUCUGUCUCUAUAAAAAAUUAAAAACUAGCCAGGCAUGGUGGCUAGUGCCUGUAGGCCCAGCUAUGAAGGAGGCUGAGGUGGGAGGAUCACUUGAGCCCAGGAGGUCGAGGCUGCAGUGAGCCAAGAUCACACCAUUGCAUUCCAGCCUGGGUGACACAGUAAGACCCUGUCUCUGAAAAAAAAAAAAAAAAAGCUAUUUCUGACCUACCUUUAUAGGCUGAGGUUGUUACGUUCUGCCUUUAAGAAUCUGAACUCUGAACACAUAUUACAUAAUAAACCUGCUGAGUAAAAGUUCUUUCACUGUGUGUAGGAAUCCUGGCAUUCAGUUGGAGUAGGGGAAAACUCACUUCAUAUCUUCUGAAUUUCUGUUUUCUUUAAAAGGUACUUCUUCCACAUCUUCUCUCCUUAUGAGGUGAUCAAAUGUUGAUAUGGAAAUAAAUUCACCAUCUAAGACCUAUCUUUGCUUUUUGCAUGGAGCACCCCAAAAAUUCUGAGGGCUUCCUUUCUAGUUUUACAGUUGCUUCAGAUGGAGAUUACUUGAGCUUCCACUUUGGCUUCCAUCAUUACCCACAUCUUACUAGACACUUUUCCAUGCUGAUGUAAUUAGUGUUCCUAAGAAUCAGUUGUAUCCUGUUUCCAUGAAUAACUAGUUUUUAGAAUGGAAAAGAACGUGUAGGGCUGGGCGCGGUUGCUCACCCCUGUAAUCCCAGCACUUUGGGAGGCCCAGAUAGGUGGAUCACAAGGUUAGGAGUUCGAGACCAUCUUGACCAACGUGGGGAAACCCCACCUCUACUGAAAAUACAAAAAAUUAGCCAGGCAUGGUGGUGCGCGCCUGUAAUCCCAGCUACUCAGGAGGCUGAGGCAGGAGAAUCGCUUGAACCCUGGAGGCGGAGGUUGCAGUGAGCCGAGAUUGCGCCACUGCACUCCAGCCUGGGUGACAGAGCGAGACUCACUCUC